rnacentral:rRNA from 1 species
CCUGUGGUUAGGGGUGAAAGGCCAAUCAAACUGGGAAAUAGCUGGUUCUCCGCGAAAGAUAUUUAGGUAUCGCCUCGGACGAAUACUGUGGGGGGUAGAGCACUGGAUGGGCUAGGGGGACUUACCGUCUUACCAAACCCAACCAAACUCCGAAUACCCACAAGUACUAUCCGGGAGUCACACGGCGGGUGCUAACGUCCGUCGUGGAGAGGGAAACAACCCUGACCUACAGCUAAGGCCCCCAAUUCGUAGCUAAGUGGGAAAGGAUGUGGAAAUCCCAAAACAACCAGGAGGUUGGCUUAGAAGCAGCCAUCCUUUAAAGAAAGCGUAACAGCUCACUGGUCUAAGUAAGGGUUUCUGCGCCGAAGAUGUAACGGGGCUCAAGCUACGAGCCGAAGCUUAGGGUGUGCGCGCAAGCGUACGCGGUAGCGGAGCGUUCUGUAAGCCUGCGAAGGGCGAC